UCAGAACUUCACUUUCACUCAGUUUCUUUAUCUCUAGAAUGGAAAACAUACUGUACCUGUCUCUCAAAGUGUGUCUUGAAAAGACCAGGGUUGUGAAGAUUACCUUAGCUAGAAGAGCAUCAACUGCAAAGCCAUUUCGUUCGUGAGAUGUGAAGAAACACAGGUAGAAAGAAACCUUUACAGCAUGAUGAUCAUUUUAAAGCACAGCUGCACAUCCUUUGACACUGCCCCAUGGAGCGGUCCCCAUCUUCUUUCCUUCAGCCUGGUGGGCUUGUCAGUGCUUCAGCUCAAUGGCAGAAGUGGCUCCAUGUGACUUUCCAAGGCCAGGUCAGAAGUCUCGCUGCUUCUGCCUCAAGCUCUUGGGAUACUUGCUUUCUGGUAGCAACCCCUCCGGCAACUCCUCCCACAACCCAGACGCCGUUCUGUGAGAAGCCCAUGCUACAUGGACAAGGCUUGCAGAGGUGCUUUUGUCCCUGCCAAGUGCCUCAUGCAUGAGUGAAGACUUUUCCAGGGGAUUCCAGUCCCCAGCCAUUCAUGUCACCACCAGUCAUGGUGGAGCAGAGACAAACUGCUUCUCUGCUUGGCCCUGUCUGAAUUUCUGACCCACCAAAUCCAGGAACAGAAGAAAAGGGUACUGCUUUACACCAGUAAGUUUUGGAGUAGAGAACUGGAACAAACGUUUCUUUUUCUUUCUUUUAGACAGAGUCUUGCUCUGUCGCCCAGGCUGGAGUGCAGUGGCACGAUCUUGGCUCACUGCAACCUCCACCUCCUGGGCUCAUCAAGCAAUUCUCCUGCCUCAGCCUCCUGAGUAGCUGGGAUUACAGGCAUGCACCACCACACCUGGCUAAUUUUUAUAAUUUUAGCAGAAACGGGGUUUCACCAUGUUGGCCAGGCUGGUCUCAAACUCCUGAUCUCAAGCCAUCCACCCACCUUGGCCUCCCAAGGUGCUGGGAUUACAGGCGUGAGCCACUGCGCCUGGUCACCAAACAUUUCUGAAAUACGGAUUUUCUGCUUUAUCACCGGCAUUCUCCACAAUAAAGUUGUUCAUUUCAGAGGCAGUUUUCUACGAUUGGAGGUAGGGAGUUGAGGGGGGGGAGGAUUAAUUUGAAAUACUUCUGGAGCACAGGCCACACCUGAGGUAGAGAGAAGCUUAAUAAAGGGAUAGAAAUUGCCAGCCUGAAUCGCAGGGUGCAGG
rnacentral:lncRNA from 1 species